GGGAACACACGUGCCAAGAGGCGCGGGAAUGCGGAGGGGGGUAGCGUGUGCUGGAAUGACUGGGCGGAAAGGGGGGGUAGGUGGUUUCUUAAGUCAGAGGUGAAAGGCUACGGCUCAACCGGAGUAAGCCUUUGAAACUGGGAAACUUGAGUGCAGGAGAGGAGAGUGGAAUUCCUAGGGUAGCGGUGAAAUGCGUAGAUAUUAGGAGGAACACCAGUUGCGAAGGCGGCUCUCUGGACUGUAACUGACACUGAGGCACGAAAGCGUGGGGAGCAAACAGGAUUAGAUACCCCGGUAGUC
rnacentral:rRNA from 1 species